GAUGAACGCUAGCUACAGGCUUAACACAUGCAAGUCGAGGGGAAACGACAUCGAAAGCUUGCUUUUGAUGGGCGUCGACCGGCGCACGGGUGAGUAACGCGUAUCCAACCUGCCCAUCACUUGGGAAUAACCUUGCGAAAGUAAGACUAAUACCCAAUGAUAUCCCACGAAGGCAUCGGAAUGGGAUUAAAGAUUUAUCGGUGAUGGAUGGGGAUGCGUCUGAUUAGCUGGUUGGCGGGGUAACGGCCCACCAAGGCAACGAUCAGGAGGGGUUCUGAGAGGAAGGUACCCCACAUUGGAGCUAAGGCACAGACCAAAACCCUAGGGGGGGCAGCGGUGAGGAAUAUUAGUCAAUGGAGGAGGGCCUAAACCAGCCAAGUAGCGUGCAGGAAGACGGCCCUAUGGGUUGUAAACUGCUUUUAUAAGAGAAUAGAGUGGGUCACGUGUGACUUUUUGCAUGUACCUUAUGAAUAAGGACCGGCUAAUUCCGUG
rnacentral:rRNA from 1 species